GAGCGGAGCCUACGGCUGCACUUGAAGGACACCAAAGCAUCUCAGGGUCAGAAAGGGGAAAAAGCAAUUGCAGGGAAUUUAGGGGGUAGUAAAAGGAACCCAUCUCUUGCCGCAUAAAUGCCCCCCACCCCCACCCAGGACUGAUUCUGGAAGCAACCUAGUGUUCGAAAGGGAAAGGCUCCUACUUUUCCAUUACAGCCGCGGAAAUCCGCAGGCAAAUCUCCGAGGAGAAUUUUAGGGAAGCUUCAUUGACAGCUGUCUGGAGAGCAGUAGUUCCCGCCUGUGCAAAUAUUCCAGAGAGUUAAAUCAUUUAGAAAGCACUAGUUCUUUCAAGAACAGGUAGUGUGAUUGUCUGCAGUCCUGGGCCAAGCUGGGAAAACAAAACAGCAGAGAGAGGUGUAACAUUAAAUAGCGUCCUGACCACACUGCGCAAGAAACAGCAAAUGAAACGUCCAAACUUUGGAAAGAUCUGAAGAACACUUGCCGCCCGCAUUUCCCCUUGACUUCUCCCUUUUUCUUCCCAAUCUCGAGGCGUUCAUGCCUGGCUUUAAGACGCCAAGAUAACUCUCUUGUUUUGGCAUUGUCGCAAUGUCCAAAUCGGUCAAAGGAGUGGGAUAAGGUGAAAGGACCAGGUCAGAAACUUUAGAAGGACUCGGUAAAUUAAUUUGUUUGGAAGCCAGUGAGGUGGACUAUGUUGAGGUAGCAGUUCCGCACCACGACUUUGGAGCCAAAGAAAAACCCAGGCCGAAAAAGCGAGCCUUGAUGUCUUUGUUCUGCCUUGGCCUGCAGGGGUUGGGAACAAAGGAGAGGAGCUAAGAGGAUGCACCAAAGUAGCCGCGCCCUCCCUGCCUGGCGCUGUCCGCGGUGCUGACCGUGGCCCUUUUCUCUCUCCGUAAUCAAACUGGAAAAGCAAUAGGACCGUCCCGUCCCUACUCAAAAGAAGAGUAGGAUAUUAGGUAAUUUGAAAAAUAACAUUUAAAAA
rnacentral:lncRNA from 1 species